AAGGAACGCUAAUACCGCAUACGUCCUACGGGAGAAAGCAGGGGACCUUCGGGCCUUGCGCUAUCAGAUGAGCCUAGGUCGGAUUAGCUAGUUGGUGGGGUAAUGGCUCACCAAGGCGACGAUCCGUAACUGGUCUGAGAGGAUGAUCAGUCACACUGGAACUGAGACACGGUCCAGACUCCUACGGGAGGCAGCAGUGGGGAAUAUUGGACAAUGGGCGAAAGCCUGAUCCAGCCAUGCCGCGUGUGUGAAGAAGGUCUUCGGAUUGUAAAGCACUUUAAGUUGGGAGGAAGGGCAGUAAGUUAAUACCUUGCUUUUUUUUACGUUACCGACAGAAUAAGCACCGGCUAACUCUGUGCCAGCAGCCGCGGUAAUACAGAGGGUGCAAAGCGUUAAUCGGAAUUACUGGGCGUAAAGCGCGCGUAGGUGGUUUGUUAAGUUGGAUGUGAAAGCCCCGGG
rnacentral:rRNA from 1 species